CCCGCCGACCAAUAGCUAUUGAUCAGCGGCUCUCUUGUGUCUGUGCGUGGCCGACGGCUUUGGAAAACGUGCAACAGAUCCUUGGACCGAGCAAUUCGAAAGGGACAUUCGAAGCCACAAGCUUGCCCCUUUAAAGUUGGUCACAAUUUAUUUCGAGCUACGUGGAUACUACGCAGCAUCCUGUUUCCGUCCACGAUCCCUCGCUGUUCGAGAUUUUCCAAUGGAAACUUGACAUGAAGAUGAUUGCACUUCAUUGUGAGAUGGUCCCGAAGAUAGAUCCAAGCUAUGAAAUUACUGUCAAGAUAUCGAAGACAAGAUGAUACGGCCAAUCGUACAAGAAAUUUUAUCUAUUUUUGUUAAAACUUUGUAUAAAUAGAAACACAACUCUCCAGUGUAUUCGUCGAAUAUCUAUUUCCCCGAAAAGAAAUUAGAAUACACAUCAAAACAAGCGUUCCCUCUUUAAUCGGCAGUACUCGAGAUUUAAUCAAUUAAAUCAAAUUACCCGUCACGCAAAAUAUCUAAACCUAGAAACUCCAAUUUUGGAUCCCGAGAGAGCUACCCGUCUCCCUAAACCAGAGUAUUGGCAACCGACGAGAGGCGGUCGCGAUCGAAAGAGACGAGGAGGGUUUAAAAAAGGAGCAGAGCAGCCAGGGUCCGAGGCGUGUUUCAAAAUCGUCGCCGCGACCUUGCCGGCGAGGACGCCGCGUUUCUCCGCCGCGCUGCUCGUUCUCGAUCACCUCUCUCGAUCCAUCGAUCGAUCGAUCAGGUCGGCCCCCGGGUACAGCUGACCGAUGACUAAGAUUACGCGGCACCGGCCGAUUGUAAUUGGCUCGCGCAAAACCUAUCGCGUGCGCACUCGCCUCUAAAACGCAGUAAAUCAGCGGCGGGUUAAGGAUCGCUUAUAAAUAACCAAUUAGAGACACCUGCGUUCGUCCUGUCUCCCGCGUCGAGCGGAGAGCCGACCUUAUAUCCCCGCGGAAUGCAGAUGCGCGACCGUUUCGCUUUGAUCUUUAUUCUUACGCGCGGUAUCGCGCGCCGCCGAUCCUUUGUACCUCUUUGUAUCGACAGUUAUACGUACCAGCUGGCAUUUGUACCUGGCGGACCUUUCGACGGGGAGGAGGGAGGAGGAAAAAGUAUGCGAUGCUGAUUAAUAGGCGAGCCCAAUGGUGUUUCAAUCGCCUUGGAUCCCGGACAGGAAAGCGCGCCCCGUUUCACGGACACAUCUAAGAGGGGAUCUAAGAGGGUUUGUACAGAAGCAAGGAACUGGAUACGAUGAAUGGAGAAAGAUGGGAUGGGCUUUUUCCACUGAUUCUUAUUGAGGAUUCUUAUUCGGAUGUCCAUCUUCGUUUCUGGUUGGGUUGGAAACAUUGGAUGGAAAUAUGGUGGAAAGUAUAUAAUACGUCUGAUGGAUAUCGAUCUUUGGAUCGUCGAGAUAUCAAGUAUACGAUAAUAUCGGGUUUCUCUAAUAUUUCAAUGUCUGGAGAUUUCAUUUCGUUUUCAUUUUUCUAUUCUGCGCGAUAUUAUAAUAUUAUAGAUACUUAUAUCGAUUUUAUCGAUGGAAAUUUUCUUUAGAAUUAUUCCUUAGAACGAGUUUCAAGUGAAAAUUACGAAAAAACGAACCUUGCGAACGCAACAAUACGGUUAUUUAAUCCUUUCACAAUCCAUUUAAUUUAAUUUAAUUUAAUUUCAAACAAUAGUCUCUUAUCGCGAUCAUACCUUCCGAUUAACCGUAGAGGUAACAAAAUCUCACCUAUGAACUUGCCAUUCGUUUCACGAUGCGCUCCGACAGAAGGAACAAAAAGCAACGCGAGAGGAGGACAACGAGGACAGUUAGCCGGUAGGCAAUCGACGAUACAGGGAAAGGAGAGGGACAGCCGAGUAGAACUAUGGAAAGAACAGAGGGAACGAACACGGAGGCUCGCGUCACGGUGUACAUGAAUCGUUGUUUGUGUUGAUCGCCGUGCAACACGCCACGCAGAAACACAUCUGGUCGCGUGGGAAGAUCGCGCUCCCAUUACACGUCGACCAGGUAAAGUUACGCCGUGUUUCUCUAUUCGUUCGAAAUUCGCGCGUCUCCUACAAUUACCUGAAGUACGAUGAGUUCGGUGAUUGGCCCGUUAGCGCGCAUGCGCUUAGAGAAAUUCACGAACCUCGCAUGCGAACGCGUCGCAUUAGUCUUCUUCGAAAAGUGAUUCGUGAAUUUUGUAAUAAAAUAAAAGAUUCAGUUUGUGAUUUCGCUUUGUUCUUUGUUCAAUCUAUCGCCAGUGAUUUUCUUCCAAUCCAAUUUGACGAAAUAUAGAAGUAACUGAUAGCUUCGUUCGCACGUAGGUUGUUUAAUCGACGUGGAGAGCCAAGGGGGAAGGAGGAAAAUUUAAACGUUUAUUAAAACGAUACACGAUAUCGAUUCGAGGCUUGAAAACACUAUUGAAUCAUAAUAUAAUGAGAUAAAAGGAAAUGAAAAAAAUGGGAUACAUCCGAAUUGUUAAGCAACGAAUAGGAUAGAGUGACACGCUUUAUUCUUAUACCAUACCGUUCGAAGAAACUUGACCAAAAACUUCAACGUUCUCGACGUUACGUAAUUACCUAAAAUAUAACUUCGGAAGCGAUCCAAAUCCGAUGUAGAAAGCAAAGAGGCGAGGAUUUCGCCCGCGACGAGACCGAUCCGGUUGACAAUGGGUUGGCAGAGCGGCCGGUUGACAUUAUAAAUCGCAAUCAGUGGCUACCGAGCUACCAAAGGGGGGGAAGGGAGGAGGAAGAUGGGCGAGAGAGAAGGAGCAACAAGGAGAGGGACGGAGCAUUAUGCAACCGAGGGGAUGACCGGAUCAGGAGACAGGUUUAUGGGCGUUAAAAAAUGGCCGGGCCCUUUAAACCGCGUAAUUAAGUGCCGGUAUUUUAAGCAGCAGUCAGAACUCGAAUGCGCGAGUGAAUUAUACCUACGCCGGGAUACGAGUUCAAAACUCACGUGGAAAUUCCUUGGGCAAUUGUUUCCUCGCCGAUAUAUUACGCAGUUUCUCCUCUUUGAAUGGUGGCGCGCGAAACAAUGAACCGAGGGGUGGUGGUACACACGAUGAUAUGACGUUUAAAGAGGAAUUUUUUUUUUUUCUCGGCCGGGGAAAUGGGUGGAGAGAGGAGAGAGAGAGAGAGAGAGAGAGAGAGAGUUGCGUUAAGAUGAGGUAUUUGAGGUGCUUUCACCGUGGAUAUACGCGUGAUAUUUUAAAAGUCCAUUUUCUUCGGACGCUGUUGCGUAACGAUUUAUCGAGCAAUAAGAUCGGCGGAUCGAUAAGCGGGGAAGUUGUAAAUUGCGGUAUUACAGUUCCUGCAAAUGUUUUCUCUACUCUUCAAUGUUAAUUUAGAUGGCAAAAUUUCGCUCGAUAACGGCUCGUGGCGAAAUACGCAACGAAAUUCGCAGUGUACAAAUUAUAUCGAUUUUUUUCAGAGAGAAAUUAUAACAGUGAUAUAUCGAACUCGACGAAGGAUCAGUUGCAAUAAUGGAUAGAGAUGACAAGGAGGCCAAUUGCUGAUCGUAAAACGCUGAUCAAGGUUCUCUCUCGAGAAUAGAAACAAGGGCGCCAAGUGAUUUCUCGAAAAUUAAACACGUGCGAGAGUGUAAUAGCGUGGAAUCUAGUGAAUCACUUACGGUUUCCCGAGAACUGGUAACAAGUGGAUGCAGAUGAAAGUUCGAUGCUUACCUGCAACAGAAAGAAACCGGCAAUUAAACUCGUUGGCUCGUUGCGUCACCAAUCUUAUUUCGAAAUCUCUUUCGACGUUGAGGUAAACGUUUAGAAAUUGCAAUUCGUUUCAAGAAUUGUUCUAAAAAUUUAUAAUACGAUGUACUUGAUGGCAUUGUUGAAUGGUGUUUGAUUGAAUUCAAAAUAAAAAAUUAUGUCUCAUUUAUGGAAAUUUCAGAAUCAGGAAAUAUUUAUUUUUCUCGAUUCCGAAGCGGUUAAAAUAUCAUACAAAUAAAUUUUUAAAAAUUACAUUUAUUGUUUACAAUAAUACAUGAAGAAACAA